AUAUAAUGUGCAAUAGAGUUUGACCUUAUUUAAGGAUUUAAUCGCAUUAACUACUCUGUUUUCCUUUAUAUUCAUAGCUCAAUCACAGGCUGAAGCAGAAGGUAAGUCUAGAUUUUCCAUUUUUAGAUACAAAUAUGAUUUUAAUAACAGCCUUUAAAAUAUUUAUACACAUAAGGAGAAACUAAUGAACCCACUGUGUUUUUGUUAUAUCCGGAAAUUGUAUCAACUUCAUCCGGAAGUUUUCUACAGGAGGUGUUUAGCGCUUUGCGUUACAGCAUCUCGCUUUGCACGUGUGCGACUUCCGCCUAUUUAAUUUACAAGUGCCGCAACGAGUAUUAUUAUUAUUUAACGGAAAUUUAUUAUGAUACUGACAACUAAUACCAAAAUUAUAUCGUAUUAUAUAAUACGCAAUAGAGUUUGACCUUAUUUAAGGAUUUAAUCGCAUUAACUACUCUGUUUUCUUUUACAUUCGUAGCUCAAGCACAGGCUGAAGCAGAAGGUAAGUCUAGAUUUUCCAUUUUUAGAUACAAAUAUGAUUUUAAUAACAGCCUUUAAAAUAUUUAUACACAUAAGGGGAAACUAAUGAACCCACUGUGUUUUUGUUAUAUCCGGAAAUUGUAUCAACUUCAUCCGGAAGUUUUCUACAGGAGGUGUUUAGCGCUUUGCGUCACAGCAUCUCGCUUUGCACGUGUGUGAGUUCCGCCUAUUUAAUUUACAAGUGCCGCAACGAGUAUUAUUAUUAUUUAACGGAAAUUUAUUAUGAUACUGACAACUAAUACCAAAAUUAUAUCGUAUUAUAUAAUAUGCAAUAGAGUUUGACCUUAUUUAAGGAUUUAA
rnacentral:lncRNA from 1 species